CUCCCAAAGUGCUGAGAUUUUUGGCUUAAGCCACUGCGCCCGGCCCUAUUUUCUAUGUAAUUUGAAAGGCGCUGUAGAAUUUGAUGAGUCGGGAAGCAGAAGCAACUGUGGCUCCACAACCUUUUUCUCCUCUGCUUUUAAGGCAUGUGUUCUUUUGGGGUGGAUCUGAUUUUGUUCUGGUGUUCUGAAUCAAAGCAGAAGCACGUGCAGGGGAGGUGGGAAGGGUGUCAGUGUAAUCACAAAGGGGAACGCUCCCUGGCUCCAGCUCUCAGGAGGCUCCUGAGGGCUCCCGAAGAAAACUGUGCUGCCUUCUGGAUUCCAGGCAGCACAGGCUCCCUUCAGUUGAACCUGAGGCAGUUCCAGCCCGCCAAGCCAUUUCCCUUGGCCACCCAGAGCUAGACGGGGAAGAGGUAAAGGAGAUUUUGGCAAGAACAGGCUACUGGCCCCUGCUGCUAAAACAUGCCUGCCCACAGUGCUUCAGAGAAAGGGCAAAGUCAUUUGCUGUCAUGCUUGGAAGGAGUAGAACCAAGUGUUUAUGAGCAUGGACUUUGGAGUCAGGAUACUCUCCUGAUAUACCACGAUGCAGAAUGUCAAGUAGGAAAAGAAGCUGUUGCAUUGGGCAAUUAAGAAGUCAUUGGUGAGAGAAGUUUCAGUCUGAAGUGGAAUCAUAGUAAAUUACAGAAAAAUAGUCUUUGGAGAGAGAAGGAAUCUGGUUAAUCCACAGGCCACACAAUCAUGGUUGAAAAUUAGUGAAUGAGCGAAUGAUGGAUCCAUCUCUUGAAGCAAUACUUGAAUCGCAGAAUUCUUAUAUUGAUAGAAGCAGAAGGAAACCAGAAGUGCUCCAAUUAAAGGCCUCCAUUUUUCAGAUCAGCAGACUAUGAGCCAUGCAUAGGAUCACACACAGCUCUUUUAAAAAUUAUGAGCCACUCAGCCUCGGCCUCCG
rnacentral:lncRNA from 1 species